GACCUAUUCUCGCGGUCCUUGGUCCCCAACCUCCAACCCCCCUUCUCCUUCAGACGUUAGUUUCCAGAAGAUCUGGCCCGGGAUUGGUGUAGGCGCCCAGAAAGGGAGCAGGAUAGGUUUGAGGGUGCAGGCCGUCUGGGCGGCAAUCUGUCGUUCCGGCACCCACCAUCUACUUGCACUUAAACCUGGUAGCGAACCCCCAGGGAGGCAGAAGCUGCCGGCGUGAACUGCGCUGCAGAUUGCUCAGCGCCGGCCUCGGCCUCUAGGCCCGUCCAGGAACGCCACGACGAAAGCGAUUCUGCGGACUGUUCAUGCUCACCGCUCUUCAAAUUGCGUGCAGAAUGGAGAUGAAAGACAGCAAGAUGGUCUGGGUGUGGAGAGGUCGGAGUACAAGCCUCACAACCACUGGCACCCCAGCGCGCCGCUUUUCCCCAUGGUGCCAUUGCCUGGGCCUCACCCUCUGAUGCUAUACAUGCAGUGGUGUGGAUCAAACCAGAAGCUUCAGUCAUGCAAGUACACAUUUUACCAGGUAACCAAGGAGCUCUGCCUAUGUGCCUGUGGGAAGGGCCAGACAUGCUUGGGAUUUGAUAGCCCUCUGGAGCACCUGAUCAGUAAUGGUGAGGUUGGUGCUUAAGCUCAGUCUUCACUCCCUGGUGGGCAGUCGUCGAAGUCGGAAUAUAGUGCUUCCCAGAAUCCCCUGCAGCAUGAGCCCCAGCUGCCCACAGCUGAAGCCUGCCCUCAGCAAACCCUUCACCCUUUUUCCCUUCCUCAUCUGUUGUCUCCAUCCUCCACUGGGUCUUCCUGGGAGACCCUCUUAAAUAAAGGACUUACUCUCUA